rnacentral:rRNA from 1 species
GACGAACGCUGGCGGCGUGCUUAACACAUGCAAGUCGAACGGAAAGGCCCUGCUUUUGUGGGGUGCUCGAGUGGCGAACGGGUGAGUAACACGUUAGUAACCUGCCCUUGACUUUGGGAUAACUUCAGGAAACUGGGGCUAAUACCGGAUAGGAGCUCCUGCUGCAUGGUGGGGGUUGGAAAGUUUCGGCGGUUGGGGAUGGACUCGCGGCUUAUCAGCUUGUUGGUGGGGUAGUGGCUUACCAAGGCUUUGACGGGUAGCCGGCCUGAGAGGGUGACCGGCCACAUUGGGACUGAGAUACGGCCCAGACUCCUACGGGAGGCAGCAGUAGGGAAUAUUGCACAAUGGGCGGAAGCCUGAUGCAGCAACGCCGCGUGCGGGAUGACGGCCUUCGGGUUGUAAACCGCUUUCGCCUGUGACGAAGCGUGAGUGACGGUAAUGGGUAAAGAAGCACCGGCUAACUACGUG